rnacentral:rRNA from 1 species
AUUCCAGCUCCAAUAGCGUAUAUUAAAAUUGUUGCAGUUAAAAAGCUCGUAGUUGGAUCUGCGGUUAGGGCUUGCGGUCCACCGCGCGGUGGCACUGCUCGUCCCGACCUACAUCGAAUUGACCCGCGUUGCUCUUCACUGAGUGACCGGGAAGGCUCGAACGUUUACUUUGAAAAAAUUAGAGUGUUCAUAGCAGGCAGUCCGCCCGAAUAAUGUUGCAUGGAAUAAUGGAAUAGGACCUCGGUUCUAUUUUGUUGGUUUUCGGAAUUGAGGUAAUGAUUAAUAGGGACGGCCGGGGGCAUUCGUAUUACGGUGUUAGAGGUGAAAUUCUGGGAUCAUCGUAAGACGAACUACAGCGAAAGCAUUUGCCAAGAAUGUUUUCAUCA